AGGGCGUAUGGGGAAUGCCUAGGCACACUCCGGCGAAGAAGGACGCAGCAAACAGCGAAAUGCGACGGUGAGCGGUAAGCACGUGAAGAGCCGUCGAUAUCCGAAUGGGGGAACCCACACGGAGUCAUAUCCGUGUAUCACAUGUCGAAUACAUAGACAUGAUGAGGCGAGACGCAGGGAACUGAAACAUCUAAGUACCUGCAGGAAGAGAAAAUAAGAAUGAUUUUCUGAGUAGCGGCGAGCGAAAGGGAAAGAGCCCAAACCGAUCUUAGGAUCGGGGUAGUAGGAUCAUCGAUAAAUCUGACAGAGGAUCAUAGAGGAAUCACAUGGGAAGGUGAGCGAGAGAGGGUGAGAGCCCCGUACUCGAAAUGAGAGACUGGAGAGAGAUGACACCUGAGUAGGGCGGGACACGAGAAAUCCUGUCUGAAUCAGCCGGGACCAUCCGGCAAGGCUAAAUACGAGAGAGUGACCGAUAGUGAACCAGUACCGUGAGGGAAAGGUGAAAAGAACCCCGGGAGGGGAGUGAAAGAGAACCUGAAACCCUGCACUUACAAGCUGUAGGAGCACAUUAUUUGUGUGACUGCGUACUUUUUGUAGAACGGGCCAACGAGUUACGUUGUGUAGCAAGGUUAAGCACUUAAGGUGUGGAGCCGUAGCGAAAGCGAGUCUUAAAUGGGCGAUUAAGUUACUUGGCGUAGACCCGAAACCGGGCGACCUAUCCAUGAGCAGGUUGAAGCGAAAGUAAAAUUUCGUGGAGGACCGAACCCACGUACGUUGAAAAGUGCGGGGAUGACUUGUGGAUAGCGGUGAAAUUCCAAUCGAGCCUGGAGAUAGCUGGUUCUCCCCGAAAUAGCUUUAGGGCUAGCCUCAAGCUUAGAGAAACGGAGGUAGAGCACUGAAUGUCCUAGGGGGUAUUGCACUUACCGAAGACUAUCAAACUCCGAAUGCCGUAUUCUUUUGCUUGGGAGUCAGACUAUGGGUGAUAAGAUUCAUAGUCAAGAGGGCAACAGCCCAGAUCGUCAGCUAAGGUCCCUAAAUGUAAGUUAAGUGGUAAAGGAUGUGGAAUUGCACAGACAACCAGGAUGUUGGCUUAGAAGCAGCCACUCAUUUAAAGAGUGCGUAAUAGCUCACUGGUCGAGUGAUCCUGCGCCGAAAAUUUCCGGGGCUAAAACGUACUACCGAAGCUACGGCAUCAUUUAUGAUGGGUAGGGGAGCUUCGUAUGCAGGCUGAAGCAUGACCGUAAGGACAUGUGGACAGUAUACGAGUGAGAAUGUUGGCAUGAGUAGCGAGACGUGGGUGAGAAUCCCACGGGCCGUAAACCCAAGGUUUCCAGGGGAAGGUUCGUCCGCCCUGGGUUAGUCGGGACCUAAGCCGAGGCCGAAAGGCGUAGGUGAUGGACAACAGGUUGAUAUUCCUGUACCACCAAUAACCGUUUGAGAAAUGGGAUGACACAGUAGGAUAAGCUAACCGCACUGUUGGUUAUGUGCGGGCAAGUAUUGAGGCAGUUCCGAUAGGCAAAUCCGUCGGAAUAAUGCUGGGGUACGAUGCGGAGCGAAAUUUAGUAGCGAAGUAGCUGAUUUCACACUGUCGAGAAAAGUCUCUAUCGAGGUUAAAGGUGCCUGUACCGCAAACCGACACAGGUGGGUGAGGAGAGUAUCCUAAGGCCAGCGAGAGAACUGUUGUUAAGGAACUCGGCAAAAUGACCCCGUAACUUAGGGAGAAGGGGUGCCUUCGAAAGAAGGCCGCAGAGAAUAGGCCCAAGCGACUGUUUACCAAAAACAUAGGUUUCUGCUAAGUCGCAAGACGAUGUAUAGGAGCUGACGCCUGCCCGGUGCUGGAAGGUUAAGGGGAUCUGUUAGAGCAAUCGAAGCAGUGAACUUAAGCCCCAGUAAACGGCGGCCGUAACUAUAACGGUCCUAAGGUAGCGAAAUUCCUUGUCGGGUAAGUUCCGACCCGCACGAAAGGCGUAACGAUUUGGGCACUGUCUCAACAAUAGACUCGGUGAAAUUGUAAUCCCGGUGAAGAUGCCGGGUACCUGCGACAGGACGGAAAGACCCCAUGGAGCUUUACUGUAGCUUGACGUUGGGUCUUGGUACUACAUGUACAGGAUAGGUGGGAGACUAUGAAGCAUGGACGCCAGUCUGUGUGGAGUCAUCCUUGGGAUACCACCCUUGUAGUACUGGGAUCCUAACCAUAGGCCUUGAAUCAGGUCUUGGAACACCGUCAGGUGGGCAGUUUGACUGGGGCGGUCGCCUCCUAAAAAGUAACGGAGGCGCUCAAAGGUUUCCUCAGCACGGUCGGAAAUCGUGCGAAGAGUGUAAAGGCAAAAGGAAGCUUGAUUGCAAGACAUACAGGUCGAGCAAGGACGAAAGUCGGACUUAGUGAUCCGGUGGUACCGCAUGGAAGGGCCAUCGCUCAACGGAUAAAAGCUACCCUGGGGAUAACAGGCUUAUCUCCCCCAAGAGUCCACAUCGACGGGGAGGUUUGGCACCUCGAUGUCGGCUCA
rnacentral:rRNA from 1 species